AAUUGGAUCUAUUAGUGUCACAAUUAACUGUACUCUGGCUAUCUAAAAUCAAUUAUCAAACUACAAAACACCAAGGCUUACUACUUCCAUCUUAAUUCAAUACAUAAUCCAUUCUACGACUAUCAAUUCAACAAUACUUUAAUAUUCUUAUCAGUUCAUCUCUCGCUUACUCUCUUUCCAUUGUCAUAUAUUCAAUUACUGAACUCCAGCUUACUUAUUAUAUUUAGUUUCUCAAUUCAUCAUACAAAAUUCAAUAUCUUUACUUAACACAACACAAUCCGAUAAUCUCAAUUUUCAAGGUCACAGAUUUUCUCCAAAACAAUCACUCCAAAAUCAUAUUCUAUAAUAUUCUAAUCACAGUUUUAACAAUACUUCUCUCAAUCACAAUUCUUCAUCAAAAAAUAAUAAAAACAAAGAAAACAAAGAGAUAGCACCAAGCUUACCUCGGCUUAUGACUCUCAUAAUUUGGC
rnacentral:lncRNA from 1 species